rnacentral:misc_RNA from 1 species
GAUGAAGAACGUAGCGAAAUGCGAUAAGUAAUGUGAAUUGCAGAAUUCAGUGAAUCAUCGAGUCUUUGAACGCACAUUGCGCCCCCUGGUAUUCCGGGGGGCAGGCCUGUCCGAGCGUCAUUGCUGCCCUCAAGCACGGCUUGUGUGUUGGGCUCCGUCCCCCCGGGGACGGGUCCGAAAGGCAGCGGCGGCACCGAGUCCGGUCCUCGAGCGUAUGGGGCUUUGUCACCCGCUCUGUAGGCCCGGCCGGCGCCAGCCGACAACCAAUCAUCCUUUUUUCAGGUUGACCUCGGAUCAGGUAGGGAUACCCGCUGAACUUAAGCAUAUCAAUAAGCGGAGGA